AGGGUCUAUAGCUCAGUGGUAGAGCAAUUGACUGCAGAUCAAUAGGUCACCGGUUCGAACCCGGUUGGGCCCUUCC
rnacentral:tRNA from 1 species